rnacentral:rRNA from 1 species
CCCUUAGAUGUCCGGGGCCGCACGCGCGCUACAAUGGUCUUCGCAAACGGAUGCAUUCUCGAAGGAGAAUGCCAAUCUUGGAAUCUAUGCCUUGGUCGGGACAGUUGCUUGCAAUUUUUCGACUCGAACCAGGAAUUCCUUGUAAUCGUGAUUCAUCACAUCACGAUGAAUACGUCCCUGCCCUUUGUACACACCGCCCGUCGCUCCUACCGAUCGAAGAGUUAGGUGAAUUGUUUUGAUCGAUAAGAUUUGACUAUGGUCAACUCUCGUUGUGAAAUUCUGUGAAUCUGACUGUUUAGAGGAAGGAAAAGUCGUAACA